rnacentral:lncRNA from 1 species
AUUGUAGCAAGCCCAUUGUUGCUUGCAAAUGUCUUCUCAGCUAGCUACACUCUGCCCCAGUAUCUUGAUUGCCUGAGAGGAGAAAGUUUGGGCCUUUGCAGUAAAGUAUCCAUUUUCUUUAUUAGGUACAGAAUCUGUUUACACCUAGUGUGCUUUAGGGGGUGAUGUGUUCAGGUGCAUGCCAGUCAACCUCACAUUUGGCCCUGUGGAGUGCCCCUGAAAUUCAUAGUGGUGGAACCAGGCUGAGUGUGGAGAAUGGGAGGCAACAAAUCAAUGUUAUUCAUUCAGCUGUCAAUCGCAUUCCAGGCCUCUCACACCUCAUGAUGGCUGAACAAGGUAGAAGUAAAGGUGGCAUUUGUGCUGCAGGACAGUGUGCAGAACUAAAUGAAAAGUCUUUUCUGAAGGAAAACUCCCACAUAAGAUUGUAUGAAUGAGGAUUAUAAUUUAUAGUCUGCAAUUAAUUCGUAUGUGCUGAAACAAUUUAUUGAGUCAUUAAAUGAAAAUAUUGUUUCUGUUCCCAGCUAUGUGUAAUUUUUAGCUCUACUUAUAGCAAGUGACUUCAUCAGAGAACCAUCACUCUGUGUGACAAAUGAUAUUACCUUCAGAGGACUCAAGCUGUGUAAUUUUGAACCCACACGUGGCCUUCAGCUCACAGAGAAAGUGGUACCAGAUGCCACAGUGAUUGUAGCUGGAAGGUUCAUAUUUUUUGGCAUUCUUGUAGUUGUUAGCAAAAAACUGGCAGCCGCUGUGUCUCGUGCCGUGUGUGUGGCCAAAAGGUAUGAUGUAUUUGAUUUCAUAAUACCUCUUCACAAGGUGUAGCAGCCUGUAACUUUGCAGUCAUCAUUUGCAAUGAAUCUUUCAUCAAUUGCUUCCACUGUAGUAAAU